UACGAAGGGGGCUAGCGUUGCUCGGAAUCACUGGGCGUAAAGGGUGCGUAGGCGGGUCUUUAAGUCAGGGGUGAAAUCCUGGAGCUCAACUCCAGAACUGCCUUUGAUACUGAAGAUCUUGAGUUCGGGAGAGGUGAGUGGGAACUGCGAGUGUAGAGGUGAAAUUCGUAGAGUAUUCGCAAGAACACCAGUGGCGAAGGCGGCUCACUGGCCCGAUACUGACGCUGAGGCA
rnacentral:rRNA from 1 species